rnacentral:rRNA from 1 species
CCGAACGGCAGAAGUGGUGAUGGGCACGUAUUUUCCGCCGGGCUCUUGGCCGGCGUACUUGUGCGCGUCCGUAGGUCAGCGUGGGUUGGGGCGUGGGAGUCGUUCAUGGGAAGGUC